rnacentral:lncRNA from 10 species
ACUGGGGGACUUCAGCUCCUGAAUAUUUCACAAGUGUGUCUCUGUUCUGCAACACAGCCAGAGCCACCUUCAGAGAAAAGGAACAUAGCAAGAAGGCAGAAACAGAGCCCUCAUCAGACACAACAUGCUGGCACCUUAAUAUUGGAAUUCUGGCCUCCAGGACUAUGAGAAGAUACAGGUCAGGUUCUCCAGAAGCAGAUGCAGAAAUAACAUCUAGAGUGUGGGGUGUUGAUUAAGGAUGAAUUUCUGUGAGCAGAAGAGAAAAAAGAGGAGAUAGAGGAAGAAGGUGAACUUCCUCGUGGGAACAACCAUGCCUCAGUAACCCCAGGAUCUCCGGAGGGAGGACUGGACAAAUCACACCUAACAGCGUGUCCUGUGUCACAGUAAAAUGGGCAGGUGUUUAUUGCCACUUGGCUCAGUCACAAAAUGCCUUGGCCCUGGGAAGGACAGGAGAACUGCAGGCAGAGCAGUUCUCUGCAGGGCGGGUGGAAGCUGAAGGAGCUGACAGCCAAAUGCUGUUUACAGACCACACUCCCUACUCCUGGGCAGGCAAGUCUGGACUUCAAGGGGAAGGUCAGCGACUCAGCCUCUUAUGACUUCCACACUUCCUUGCAGGUAUGACUUUGCAUCAGCUGGUCAUAAACACCCCUCACAAUGAUGAAAGCAAUGGACUCUGUCUCUGAAGAGAAAUGUGUGAGUGCCCACUGAUAAGUAUGUCACCAACAACUUCAAAAAUUGUUCAUAAGUGUUCCAAAACCCGCCCACAAGUUUUUACAGUGGAUAAACCUAAUUAGGGUUAACUUGACAUUGAAUUUUAUUUUCUU